AGGCACGAAAGAAGUACAAAGCUCCACCACCAUCUUCAAAUCCAGCUAAAUCUAAUGGUGAAGUGGAACAAAGGAAAGCAAAAGGAGAAGAAGUGGAGUUAGUUGAAGAACAAAGAUCAUGAUGAAGAUGGAUGUCCCCUGUGAGUCUCGGGUCAAAUAUGUGCUUUUGACGCAUUUCUUUCUUACAGUUUUGAAAAUUUGUGUAAUGGGAUUGUUGAUACAGGACAUCAAUUUGGCAAAGGAUGCAUUGUAAUUAAUGGGUCAUAUAGAUUUGAGAAAUGCUCAUGCUUUUG